CAGUCUAAGACAAAUCAGCUCCUUCCUGUAAAAUAGAACAAGGGAACCAAGAGUCCUGAGAAAGCUGUGGCAAAUAUUUUUAUUGGCAUAGAGAGAAGAGCAGUUAAUAAGCUACUUAAUUGGCUUUAGAAACACUUUUAAUUGAAAAAUUUCUGGAAUUGAUGGCAUAUAACAGAACAUGUAUAUUGUGGCUAUGGAAUGGUGUAGCAGAUUGCUGCAGAUGGUUUCAAUAGUUCUGCUGAAUGCUCCUCGUUUGUGCCUGCAAGAGGAACUCAAGGCUUUAUGUAUGGCCAUUGCUGUGACCUAGUGUGAUGCUCUACUUUUCCACUGAACUCUGCUUGCUCUAACUGAGGACCUUAGCUAUAAUUUAGCCUUUUCUUUUUAUAUUAAGCUGUUGUUGAGGAAGGAGCUUUGGCAAUAGAAGUAACCAAGCAGCAGGUUCAGUUCCACUGUUGACACAAUUGGAAACGGAUCCCUACUUUAUGCAUUGGAGAUGCUAUGAAGACUACUCUGAUGUUCCCCUAUUGGGAUAGUGAAAUCCAAGAAUCACAACCAGUCCAGGUGUGUGAACCCAUCCACAAUGAAUUGAACUUUUCCACAUCAGUCAUCAAUUAAGAAAAUGCUCUACAGUCUUGCCUACAGCCAAGUCUUAUAGAGGCAUGUCUCAAGUUGGAUUCCUUCCUCUCAGAUAUCUCUAGCCUGUGUCAAGUGACAUAAAAUUAGCCAGCACAACCAUUGUCAAUGAAAAAGUGGAAUCUUAUGUUUCUGUAAGAGUUAUUUUAUUGCAUUUGUGGCUGUAAAGAUUGACUCCUGGGCCUUGCACAUGAUAGGUUAGUGUUCUACCUGAGAUAUGGCCUCAGAUGUCUGUGAUUUCAUGACAUUAGCCAAAACACCCAACAGCGGGGAGAUAGGACUUGAAGAGUCCACCUCUAGUAGAUAAAUAUGGCUCCUAGUAAAGGUAUGGGGUCUACCCAUACAUCUCAAAAUUUUUAAUUCAGAAUUUUUCCUGGCUAAAGGAAAUACAGGAACAACAACAAC